AGCGUGGAAGUUAGAAGAGGGCUUAAAAACAUUGUGACCGAUAUCAGUGCACAAACUGUGACAAGAAUGACAAGUAAUGAGUAUUUGAAUGAAGUGCAGCAUGCAAGAAACUAGAUACAACAAUGAAGCACAAAGCCACAGUGAUAAAAAUUCCUUUCAGAGAAACCUGGAAGAAGGUAAAGUUUUGGAACAAAGUUCUGUGAUAUGAUUAAAUAAAGAUGCUCAGAUACCACGGUGAAGAGAAUACUGCACUCUAAUGGAAAGGUAUAUCGUGAGGAGGAGGAGGCAGAGAACCUAUCCAAUCAAGUGAUCAGCUUGUGCUGUCUGAAUGUGAGGCAAGAGGGAAUUAAGAGAUCCUUCACAAACAGGAAAAACCCCACUGACAUCCAAAAGUGAGGUUGUUCUCAGAGUGCACCUGUGGUGAAGAGAAGAAGAAAACCUGCAUGAAAGGCAUGGAUCUUAAUGGAUGAGACAAAGGGAAGUGAGUAUACCAAGGCCAAGUUUAGGAGGUGGCUGCAGCAAGAGAUUAGAAAGAGUAAACACAGACUACUUGUGACUGGCCCAGAAGCUGCCUGGUUUAUUCCUACUAGCAAAUCCAUCCACUGUAAAAUCUCACCUUGGAAUAUACAACAACUAACAGAUACCACAUUGUUUGCCCUAUUUCAGAAAACCUUGUGAAAAAUGGAGAUGAAAGCUCAGGAAACAGGAAAGGGUCAAGAGAAAAAAGGGAAAUAAGGGAGGGAGAGAUGGAAAAUGGAAGUGAGGAGGACAAGACAACAAAGAAAAAGACAUACGGAUUUAUAAAAAUAGAAGGAUUUAAGAUGAGAUUACCUACAAAGCUGAAACUCACUCCGGGAAGAGAUCUUGUUAACCAUGAACCUCAGCAGCUUCAGAAUGAAAUGCCAAACCCAUCUCUUUGGUAGAGCUUACCCAAAAUAACAUCACAUUUUAAAAAAAGAAAUAAAGGAAAAAAUGUUCCUAAAAACCAGAAGGCAUGCAAGAAAAAUGAUUUUUUUAAAACGUGAUGCCGUGGGAAGGCUUAGGUUUUGCAUUUCACUCAGAAGGAAGACAAGGAUUCAUGGUCAUACUGGUUCUCUUCCAGGAGCAAGUUUCAGUUUUUUGGGGGCCAAUCAUCGAGAAAGCGCCAUCUUCUUUGCAACCAGGUACCAUUCUUAGGUCUGACCGUUCCAUUUUCCAGUGGAACAUAGCUGUCCAUGGAAAUCAUUGAUCACACAGAGUUAGGAAGUCCCCAAGUUAACUCGGUCCAGUCCCAAAGAUGGCUUUGAAGACAAGGACUGAAACCUUGAAUUUAAUUCAGCAUUCAGAGAAGAGAAUGAGAAAUGGGGUCACGUGAUCUUGGCAUUCUGCAUUGGAGAGCAGAUGGACUGCUAGGCUCUGAACUAAAAGUAGCUUUAACAAAGGUUGGCAUUUUGUCCCCAGGUACAGAAAAUUACAAUAAGCAAACCCAGAAGUUGCUGUGGAUCACGGUGGCUAA